CAGCACCUCAAGUGGUCAGGAUGAUUAUUGGGCCUAAAGCAUCCGUAGCCGGCGCUGUAAGUUUUCGGUUAAAUCUGUACGCUCAACGUACAGGCUGCCGGGAAUACUGCAGAGCUAGGGAGUGGGAGAGGUAGACGGUACUCGGUAGGAAGGGGUAAAAUCCUUUGAUCUAUUGAUGACCACCUGUGGCGAAGGCGGUCUACCAGAACACGUCCGACGGUGAGGGAUGAAAGCUGGGGGAGCAAACCGGAUUAGAUACCCCAGUAGUCC
rnacentral:rRNA from 1 species